AUGAACGCUAGCUACAGGCUUAACACAUGCAAGUCGAGGGGAAACGACAUCGAAAGCUUGCUUUUGAUGGGCGUCGACCGGCGCACGGGUGAGUAACGCGUAUCCAACCUGCCCAUCACUUGGGAAUAACCUUGCGAAAGUAAGACUAAUACCCAAUGAUAUCCCACGAAGGCAUCGGAAUGGGAUUAAAGAUUUAUCGGUGAUGGAUGGGGAUGCGUCUGAUUAGCUUGUUGGCGGGGUAACGGCCCACCAAGGCAACGAUCAGUAGGGGUUCUGAGAGGAAGGUCCCCCACAUUGGAACUGAGACACGGUCCAAACUCCUACGGGAGGCAGCAGUGAGGAAUAUUGGUCAAUGGGCGAGAGCCUGAACCAGCCAAGUAGCGUGCAGGAAGACGGCCCUAUGGGUGGUAAACUGCUUUUAUAAGGGAAUAAAGUGGGUCACGUGUGACUUUUUGCAUGUACCUUAUGAAUAAGGACCGGCUAAUUCCGUG
rnacentral:rRNA from 1 species